UUGGAGGGCAAGUCUGGUGCCAGCAGCCGCGGUAAUUCCAGCUCCAAUAGCGUAUAUUAAAGUUGUUGCAGUUAAAAAGCUCGUAGUUGAAUUUCGGGAUCAAUUUGUUGGUCGUGCCUCGGUACGUACUGGCAUUAUUGGUUUCUACCUUCUGAAGAACCUUGAUGUCAUUAAUUUGGUGUCUUGGGGAAUCAGGACUGUUACUUUGAAAAAAUUAGAGUGUUUAAAGCAGGCAUACGCUUGAAUACAUUAGCAUGGAAUAAUGAAAUAGGACGUUUGAUUCUAUUUUGUUGGUUUCUAGGAUCGACGUAAUGAUAAAUAGGGAUAGUUGGGGGCAUUAGUAUUCAAUUGUCAGAGGUGAAAUUCUUGGAUUUAUUGAAGACUAACUACUGCGAAAGCAUUUGCCAAGGAUGUUUUCAUUAAUCAAGAACGAAAGUUAGGGGAUCGAAGACGAUCAGAUACCGUCGUAGUCUUAACCAUAAACUAUGCCGACUAGGGAUCGGAUGAUGUUAUUUUUAAUGACUCAUUCGGCGCCUUACGGGAAAC
rnacentral:rRNA from 1 species